AGGCUUCCAGCGUCUCCUGGAUCAAGUCCCCGAUGUUCUCCCUCUUCUGCUGGCUGUAGUCGAUGCCAUCUCCGGAGUUGACUGAGCUAGGUAGCAGGGCACA